CAAUGAAUCAUUUGAAGCCAAAGUACAGCCAGCCCCACCCCCCUCCCCCAGCAGGUGGACGACUGCAUGGGGCUCCUCCACUCACCAAAAGCAAGAGGAAGGAGGAGCAAGGGCAACCCUCCAGCUGCCCUACCAUGCAUCAGAAAGCCAGAAAUGGGCAGCACGCUGUUUCCAGCCAACAGACCAGCCACACCAGGUACCACCGCAAAACAUGCAGAAGCGGCAGGCAGCGAGAAAGAGCUGGAGCCAGCACCACAGGGCAGGAGCAAGCCGGAGGAGCUCCUGGAAGAGUAAAAAGUGAGAGGUCAGCCCUGCGUCACCAUGGCAACCCACACAGCUCGGGCCAGGAGCAGAUGAACGGAGCUCUUUACGCCGUGUGAUCACCAGGAAAUGAGGAAAGACCCAUGGGUACCAGGCCCUGGGUUAGGUGCUGUACCGUCUUAUUGCCUCUGAUCCUCGCAGUGGUCUCAUGAGAAAGUUAAUGACAAAUCCAGCCAGAGUGAACAGAUGGAGUGACAAGUGACAGCCCAUCUUAUAUAUAUGAAUACCCAUUAGCAGGAUGUGCUGCAAUAUGCUGCUUGUCAUCUGUUUCAAAGACACAGUGAUAGGAUACAGGUACACCAGAUGGAUAAACCUAGUGUGACUAAUUAUUGUGUAUUUGCCUUUAAUUAUUAUCAUUUAUUACCAGAGGAAAGACAAUUGAGCUUCUCUGACUCAGAAGAAACUGUUGGCACCAGAGAAGUUUUUCUUGUAAUGUUAUUGAAUACAGCUAAAGUUUUCAUUGUUGGUGAAAAGAAAAGACAAGACAAGCUCACUCCUGUGAUAGAUAGACAGAGAGAUAGAUGAUAGAUAGAUAAAAUUUCACUGAUUAACAUUUAAUCUCAUUGGCUUCAAUAUAUAUCUAACUUUAAUUUUUAAAGACUGUUUCAGAGAAUUUGGGAUCUUGAUCUUCCAGUAUCUUUUCUAACUUUUUCACAGAACAGUCCUUCAAAUAAUUAGGCCAAGAGUGUGUGAUGAUGAUGAUGGAGAUUUUAGGAGAGGAAUUUGAAUCUAGAAAGUCAUCUCCAGAUUUAAAAAAAAUAGGCAUUUGCAAAGGAGUCUUUCAUCACUUCUAUUUUGCUUUUUCUUUCAUUAUGAGAUAGUAUUUUAAAAAACUGUGACUUCUUAUUAUGCUCCAAUCAUGAAAGAGACAAUUUUAAAAGCAUGGAAGCUUUUUACCCUAAAGUUAAGAACUGAGCCACUUUAUGGGAAACUUCUAGGGGGAAAGUUUCUACUCAAGUACAUUUCUUAUUUAGACAAGCAUAUGCAUCAUAAUGGAGUUUAAAAUCAGCAUAAGUGGUUUGGCAUAUUGGCCAAAAUUCCAAAAUAGCCACAACUCCUCUGCUAUGGAAUAAUGAAUCAGAAGAAAUCUAAAUGAGAAGAAAAUGCUCUGUGAUAUUAUGGAACUUGCAUUUUUGUGAAGAGAUUCUUUUUCUUUUAAUUUCAUGAAGCGGUCUGUUUUAGAGAAACAUCUGCGUAGUAGAGUUUUAUUGAGUGGCAUAAAGAAAUACAGAAACAGUAACAAUGAAGUCUCCUCUAGUAAUAAAUUAUAGGUUUGUGCUUCCCCAUCUGCGUGAGAUGUGUCCAUUGACUUGCUUUGACCAAUGGGGGAAGACACGUGUGUCUUCUUUGUGUAAAAGAACUGCUUUGUUCUCCACCACUUUCUUGCCCUUGCUACAGCAAUGGGAGACUCCCAAUGAUGGAGCCUUCAUCAGCCUGAGUCUCUGAGUGAGGAUUUUGUAGAGAAGAGCCCCUCACAAAUCUAAAGAUGGACGUGUCACAUAAGUGAGAAAUAAACCAUGGAUUUAAGUCAUGGAAAUGUGUUGUUGUUAUUGGAGCAAAGCUUAGCCUACCCG
rnacentral:lncRNA from 1 species